GAUGAAGAACGCAGCGAAAUGCGAUAAUUAAUGUGAAUUGCAGAAUUUAGAAUCAUCGAGUCUUUGAACGCACAUUGCGCCCCCUGGUAUUCCGGGGGGCAUGCCUGUCCGAGCGUCAUUGCUGCCCUCAAGCACGGCUUGUGUGUUGGGCUUCCGUCCCUGGCAACGGGGACGGGCCCAAAAGGCAGUGGCGGCACCAUGUCUGGUCCUCGAGCGUAUGGGGCUUUGUCACCCGCUCCCGUAGGUCCAGCUGGCAGCUAGCCUCGCAACCAAUCUUUUUAACCAGGUUGACCUCGGAUCAGGUAGGGAUACCCGCUGAACUUAAGCAUAUCAAUAAGCGGAGGA
rnacentral:misc_RNA from 1 species